rnacentral:rRNA from 1 species
UACUCCUACGGGGGGCAGCAGUAGGGAAUCUUCCGCAAUGGACGAAAGUCUGACGGAGCAACGCCGCGUGAGUGAUGAAGGUUUUCGGAUCGUAAAGCUCUGUUGCCAGGGAAGAAUGCUUGCGAGAGUAACUGCUCGCAAGGUGACGGUACCUGAGAAGAAAGCCCCGGCUAACUACGUGCCAGCAGCCGCGGUAAUACGUAGGGGGCAAGCGUUGUCCGGAAUUAUUGGGCGUAAAGCGCGCGCAGGCGGCCUUGUAAGUCUGUCGUUUAAACUCGGAGCUCAACUUCGAGUCGCGAUGGAAACUGCAAAGCUUGAGUGCAGAAGAGGAAAGUGGAAUUCCACGUGUAGCGGUGAAAUGCGUAGAGAUGUGGAGGAACACCAGUGGCGAAGGCGACUUUCUGGGCUGUAACUGACGCUGAGCGCGAAGCUCCCCUC